rnacentral:rRNA from 1 species
ACGUAGGGGGCAAGCGUUGUUCGGAAUUACUGGGCGUAAAGGGCGCGUAGGCGGCUCGGCAAGUCGGGAGUGAAAGCCCGGGGCUCAACCCCGGAACGGCUCUCGAAACUGCCGGGCUCGAGUGCGGAAGAGGCAACCGGAAUUCCCAGUGUAGCGGUGAAAUGCGUAGAUAUUGGGAAGAACACCUGAGGCGAAGGCGGGUUGCUGGGCCGACACUGACGCUGAUGCGCGAAAGCCAGGGGAGCGAACGGGA